GUCGUUAGCUCAGUUGGUAGAGCAGUUGACUUUUAAUCAAUUGGUCGCAGGUUCGAAUCCUCGCACGAC
rnacentral:tRNA from 1 species